UUAAGUUAGAAAGGGCGCACGGUGGAUGCCUUGACACUAGGAGUCGAUGAAGGACGGGACUAACGCCGAUAUGCUUCGGGGAGCUGUAAGUAAGCUUUGAUCCGAAGAUUUCCGAAUGGGGAAACCCACCAUACGUAAUGGUAUGGUAUCCUUAUCUGAAUACAUAGGGUAAGGAAGACAGACCCAGGGAACUGAAACAUCUAAGUACCUGGAGGAAGAGAAAGCAAAUGCGAUUUCCUGAGUAGCGGCGAGCGAAACGGAACAUAGCCCAAACCAAGAGGCUUGCCUCUUGGGGGUGUAGGACAUUCUAUACGGAGUUACAAAGGAACGAGGUAGACGAAGCGACCUGGAAAGGUCCGUCGUAGAGGGUAACAACCCCGUAGUCGAAACUUCGUUCUCUCUUGAAUGUAUCCUGAGUACGGCGGAACACGUGAAAUUCCGUCGGAAUCUGGGAGGACCAUCUCCCAAGGCUAAAUACUCCCUAGUGAUCGAUAGUGAACCAGUACCGUGAGGGAAAGGUGAAAAGCACCCCGGAAGGGGAGUGAAAGAGAUCCUGAAACCGUGUGCCUACAAAUAGUCAGAGCCCGUUAACGGGUGAUGGCGUGCCUUUUGUAGAAUGAACCGGCGAGUUACGAUCCCGUGCGAGGUUAAGCUGAAGAGGCGGAGCCGCAGCGAAAGCGAGUCUGAAUAGGGCGUUUAGUACGUGGUCGUAGACCCGAAACCAGGUGAUCUACCCAUGUCCAGGGUGAAGUUCAGGUAACACUGAAUGGAGGCCCGAACCCACGCACGUUGAAAAGUGCGGGGAUGAGGUGUGGGUAGCGGAGAAAUUCCAAUCGAACCUGGAGAUAGCUGGUUCUCCCCGAAAUAGCUUUAGGGCUAGCCUUAAGUGUAAGAGUCUUGGAGGUAGAGCACUGAUUGGACUAGGGGUCCUCAUCGGAUUACCGAAUUCAGUCAAACUCCGAAUGCCAAUGACUUAUCCUUAGGAGUCAGACUGCGAGUGAUAAGAUCCGUAGUCAAAAGGGAAACAGCCCAGACCGCCAGCUAAGGUCCCAAAGUGUGUAUUAAGUGGAAAAGGAUGUGGAGUUGCUUAGACAACUAGGAUGUUGGCUUAGAAGCAGCCACCAUUUAAAGAGUGCGUAAUAGCUCACUAGUCGAGUGACUCUGCGCCGAAAAUGUACCGGGGCUAAAUACACCACCGAAGCUGCGGAUUGAUACCGAAUGGUAUCAGUGGUAGGGGAGCGUUCUAAGGACAGUGAAGUCAGACCGUAAGGACUGGUGGAGUGCUUAGAAGUGAGAAUGCCGGUAUGAGUAGCGAAAGACGGGUGAGAAUCCCGUCCACCGAAUGCCUAAGGUUUCCUGAGGAAGGCUCGUCCGCUCAGGGUUAGUCAGGACCUAAGCCGAGGCCGACAGGCGUAGGCGAUGGACAACAGGUUGAUAUUCCUGUACCACCUCUUUAUCGUUUGAGCAAUGGAGGGACGCAGAAGGAUAGAAGAAGCGUGCGAUUGGUUGUGCACGUCCAAGCAGUUAGGCUGAUAAGUAGGCAAAUCCGCUUAUCACAAAGGCUGAGCUGUGAUGGGGAAGCUCCUUAUGGAGCGAAGUCUUUGAUUCCCCGCUGCCAAGAAAAGCUUCUAGCGAGAUAAAAGGUGCCUGUACCGCAAACCGACACAGGUAGGCGAGGAGAGAAUCCUAAGGUGUGCGAGAGAACUCUGGUUAAGGAACUCGGCAAAAUGACCCCGUAACUUCGGGAGAAGGGGUGCUUUCUUAACGGAAAGCCGCAGUGAAUAGGCCCAAGCGACUGUUUAGCAAAAACACAGCUCUCUGCGAAGCCGUAAGGCGAAGUAUAGGGGGUGACACCUGCCCGGUGCUGGAAGGUUAAGGAGAGGGGUUAGCGUAAGCGAAGCUCUGAACUGAAGCCCCAGUAAACGGCGGCCGUAACUAUAACGGUCCUAAGGUAGCGAAAUUCCUUGUCGGGUAAGUUCCGACCCGCACGAAAGGUGUAACGAUUUGGGCACUGUCUCAACCAGAGACUCGGUGAAAUUAUAGUACCUGUGAAGAUGCAGGUUACCCGCGACAGGACGGAAAGACCCCGUGGAGCUUUACUGUAGCCUGAUAUUGAAUUUUGGUACAGUUUGUACAGGAUAGGCGGGAGCCAUUGAAACCGGAGCGCUAGCUUCGGUGGAGGCGCUGGUGGGAUACCGCCCUGACUGUAUUGAAAUUCUAACCUACGGGUCUUAUCGACCCGGGAGACAGUGUCAGGUGGGCAGUUUGACUGGGGCGGUCGCCUCCUAAAGUGUAACGGAGGCGCCCAAAGGUUCCCUCAGAAUGGUUGGAAAUCAUUCGUAGAGUGCAAAGGCAUAAGGGAGCUUGACUGCGAGACCUACAAGUCGAGCAGGGACGAAAGUCGGGCUUAGUGAUCCGGUGGUUCCGCAUGGAAGGGCCAUCGCUCAACGGAUAAAAGCUACCCCGGGGAUAACAGGCUUAUCUCCCCCAAGAGUCCACAUCGACGGGGAGGUUUGGCACCUCGAUGUCGGCUCAUCGCAUCCUGGGGCUGUAGUCGGUCCCAAGGGUUGGGCUGUUCGCCCAUUAAAGCGGUACGCGAGCUGGGUUCAGAACGUCGUGAGACAGUUCGGUCCCUAUCCGUCGUGGGCGUAGGAAAUUUGAGAGGAGCUGUCCUUAGUACGAGAGGACCGGGAUGGACGCACCGCUGGUGUACCAGUUGUUCUGCCAAGGGCAUAGCUGGGUAGCUAUGUGCGGAAGGGAUAAGUGCUGAAAGCAUCUAAGCAUGAAGCCCCCCUCAAGAUGAGAUUUCCCAUAGCGUAAGCUAGUAAGAUCCCUGAAAGAUGAUCAGGUUGAUAGGUUCGAGGUGGAAGCAUGGUGACAUGUGGAGCUGACGAAUACUAAUAGAUCGAGGACUUAACCAU
rnacentral:rRNA from 1 species